rnacentral:rRNA from 1 species
UACGGAGGGUGCGAGCGUUGUCCGGAAUCAUUGGGCGUAAAGGGCGCGUAGGUGGCCCGGUCAGUCUUUGGUGAAAGCCCAGGGCUCAACCCUGGAAUUGCCUUUAAUACUGGCGGCCUUGAGUAUGGCAGAGGUGUGUGGAACUCCGAGUGUAGAGGUGAAAUUCGUAGAUAUUCGGAAGAACACCAGUGGCGAAGGCGACACACUGGGCCAUUACUGACGCUGAGGCGCGAAAGCGUGGGGAGCAAACAGG